ACUAGAUUUUCACUGCGCCUAUGGGCGGUCCCUAGGUUCCUUGAAUUUUUCCUCGGGAACUGAAACGCGCUUACGGUACCUAUACAUGUCCCAAAUAACCCAAAAAAUUAGACCUAGGGCCUACUCGGCCAAUUUCAAAAUUCUGACACGGCAGCUCCGCCGUGCUCCGGCGAUGGCGCCGUCGCUCGCAGUAGUGAUCCGCCUCGGGUUGGCAGUUUUUGGAGGUUUUCGGUUGAAUUCAGCCAAACUUGC
rnacentral:lncRNA from 1 species